AUUGAACGCUGGCGGCAGGCCUAACACAUGCAAGUCGAGCGGAUGAAGGGAGCUUGCUCCUGGAUUCAGCGGCGGACGGGUGAGUAAUGCCUAGGAAUCUGCCUGGUAGUGGGGGAUAACGUCCGGAAACGGGCGCUAAUACCGCAUACGUCCUGAGGGAGAAAGUGGGGGAUCUUCGGACCUCACGCUAUCAGAUGAGCCUAGGUCGGAUUAGCUAGUUGGUGGGGUAAAGGCCUACCAAGGCGACGAUCCGUAACUGGUCUGAGAGGAUGAUCAGUCACACUUGAACUGAGACACGGUCCAGACUCCUACGGGAGGCAGCAGUGGGGAAUAUUGGACAAUGGGCGAAAGCCUGAUCCAGCCAUGCCGCGUGUGUGAAGAAGGUCUUCGGAUUGUAAAGCACUUUAAGUUGGGAGGAAGGGCAGUAAGUUAAUACCUUGCUGUUUUGAUGUUACCAACAGAAUAAGCACCGGCUAACUUCGUG
rnacentral:rRNA from 1 species